CCCACACCCAUGUGUGUAGGACUCUAAAGGAUCACCAUUAAAUUUGGCACAGAUCUCUAGAAAAGUUAUCACAUGGGUGUGGGACUUGACUUUUCUAGAGAUCUGCAUCAAAUUUAAUGGUGAUCCUUUGAGGUCCUACAGACAUGGGUGUGGG
rfam:Amborella trichopoda AMTR_V1.0_contig_19602, whole genome shotgun sequence.